GACGAACGCUGGCGGCGUGCUUAACACAUGCAAGUCGAACGGUAAGGCCCUUCGGGGUACACGAGUGGCGAACGGGUGAGUAACACGUGGGUGAUCUGCCCUGCACUUCGGGAUAAGCCUGGGAAACUGGGUCUAAUACCGGAUAGGACCCUGGGAUGCAUGUCCUGGGGUGGAAAGCUUUUGCGGUGUGGGAUGGGCCCGCGGCCUAUCAGCUUGUUGGUGGGGUGAUGGCGUACCAAGGCGACGACGGGGAGCCGGCCUGAGAGGGUGACCGGCCACACUGGGACUGAGAUACGGCCCAGACUCCUACGGGAGGCAGCAGUGGGGAAUAUUGCACAAUGGGCGCAAGCCUGAUGCAGCGACGCCGCGUGAGGGAUGACGGCCUUCGGGUUGUAACCUCUUUCAGCACCGACGAAGCGCAAGUGACGGUAGGUGCAGAAGAAGGACCGGCCAACUACGUGCCAGCCGCCGCCGUAA
rnacentral:rRNA from 1 species